rfam:Rattus norvegicus chromosome 16, whole genome shotgun sequence.
AGCUUUGCGCAGUGGCAGUAUCGUAGCCAAUGAGGUCUAUCCGAGGCGCGAUUAUUGCUAAUAGAAAACACUCAAUG